rnacentral:lncRNA from 1 species
AGGGUGUACCAUCUCCAAGGAAAAACAAAAACAGUGUAUGGCAUAUGAAACUUAGGGGGUGUCCAGUCCAGGAGACAGUUAUGGUAAAAUGAAGGUAAAAUUCAGAGAGAACAAAAAAGCUUCCACAAUUGAACUAGACCGUGUAAUAGUAUUUCUAGAAGACAUUUCUUUUCAAAGAAAGAUUGUAUGCCACUUUUGUUUAAAGACUGUGCUAUGAUCACUGCGUUCAUUUUAGUUUCUCUUGUCAUAUAUAUCCUCCAGGUUUUUGUUUUAUUUUUUAAAAGGUUUUCUUUUUGUCCUUCCUUUCUUUCAGAUUAGGCUUGCCUCAGCAUUUUUCUCAUGGGAAGGGGGCCCUGAGCUUCUGAACGGAGUGGUUGCUGGUUAGUUUGGUAUUCAAAAGAGGAUAAAAAUCUGGUAGAUUAGUUCAUUCUCAGCAUGUGUAGCUAGACAUGAGUAAAGUUAACAGCAUGAGAAACUGUUAGUACGCAUACCUCAGUUCAAA